rnacentral:rRNA from 1 species
CUACGGAGGGUGCAAGCGUUAUCCGGAAUUAUUGGGUUUAAAGGGUCCGUAGGCGGCUAGAUAAGUCAGUGGUGAAAUUCUCUCGCUCAACGAGAGACCUGCCAUUGAUACUGUCUUGGCUAGAGUUACAGUGAGGUGAGUGGAAUGUGUAGUGUAGCGGUGAAAUGCAUAGAUAUUACACAGAACACCGAUUGCGAAGGCAGCUCACUAACUGUAUACUGACGCUGAUGGACGAGAGCGUGGGGAGCAAACAGGAUUAGAAACCCUAGUAGUCC